NNNNNNNNNNNNNNNNNNNNNNNNNNNNNNNNNNNNNNNNNNNNNNNNUCCCUUCGACGAGUCGAGUAGUUUGGGAAUGCUGCUCAAAAUGGGAGGUAUAUUUCUUCUAAAGCUAAAUAUUGGCCAGAGACCGAUAGCGCACAAGUAGAGUGAUCGAAAGAUGAAAAGCACUUUGAAAAGAGGGUUAAACAGCACGUGAAAUUGUUAAAAGGGAAGCGCUUGUGACCAGACUUGCGCCCGGUGAAUCACCCAGCUCUCGCGGCUGGGGCACUUCGCCGGCACAGGCCAGCAUCAGCUCGCCGUCGGGGACAAAAGCUUGGGGAACGUAGCUCUCUUCGGGGAGUGUUAUAGCCCCUUGCAUAAUACCCUUCGGCGGGCUGAGGUACGCGUUCGCAAGGAUGCUGGCGUAAUGGUCAUCAGCGACCCGUCUUGAAACACGGACCAAGGAGUCAACCUUAUGUGCGAGUGUUUGGGUGUCAAACCCCUACGCGUAAUGAAAGUGAACGCAGGUGAGAGCUUCGGCGCAUCAUCGACCGAUCCUGAUGUUCUCGGAUGGAUUUGAGUAAGAGCAUAUAGGGUUGGACCCGAAAGAAGGUGAACUAUGCGUGUAUAGGGUGAAGCCAGAGGAAACUCUGGUGGAGGCUCGCAGCGGUUCUGACGUGCAAAUCGAUCGUCAAAUAUGCGCAUGGGGGCGAAAGACUAAUCGAACCUUCUAGUAGCUGGUUUCCGCCGAAGUUUCCCUCAGGAUAGCAGUGUUGAACUCAGUUUUAUGAGGUAAAGCGAAUGAUUAGGGACUCGGGGGCGCUAUAUAGCCUUCAUCCAUUCUCAAACUUUAAAUAUGUAAGAAGCCCUUGUUACUUAAUUGAACGUGGGCAUUCGAAUGUAUCAACACUAGUGGGCCAUUUUUGGUAAGCAGAACUGGCGAUGCGGGAUGAACCGAACGCGAGGUUAAGGUGCCAGAGUAGUCGCUCAUCAGACACCACAAAAGGUGUUAGUACAUCUUGACAGCAGGACGGUGGCCAUGGAAGUCGGAAUCCGCUAAGGACUGUGUAACAACUCACCUGCCGAAUGUACUAGCCCUGAAAAUGGAUGGCGCUCAAGCGACUCACCCAUACCUCGCCCUCAGUGUAGAAACGAUGCGCUGAGGAGUAGGCGGACGUGGAGGUCAGUGACGAAGCCUAGGGCGUGAGCCCGGGUAGAACGGCCUCUAGUGCAGAUCUUGGUGGUAGUAGCAAAUACUUCAAUGAGAACUUGAAGGACCGAAGUGGGGAAAGGUUCCAUGUGAACAGCGGUUGGACAUGGGUUAGUCGAUCCUAAGCCAUAGGGAAGUUCCGUUUCAAAGGGGCACUUGUGCCCCGUAUGGCGAAAGGGAAGCCGGUCAAUAUUCCGGCACCUGGAUGUGGGUUUGCGCGCAACGCAACUGAACGCGGAG
rnacentral:ncRNA from 1 species